GGGCGGAGGGCGCCCCCGGGGGCGGGGCACGCAAGUGACGGCGGUGCGGGUGGUGGACCGCUGGGCGGCCAGGGUUCCUGGCUGGCCGGUUUGGACGUCUGGGCCGUGAAGGUGGGACCGCCUGUUCUGGGCCGCAAGUUUCCCUCUCCAGCCGCCCGCCGUUCGUAGCAUGUCCCCCAGAACCCGGGGAGCGCAGGCAGGACAGGCUUAGAGAACACGCGGUCCCCAGCGCUUGGGCCACGGACGUCCCACCCCGCUCCUCUGUCGCUGGAGAACCGCCGGGCCGAGCCUCUGGGAGAAGCAGGCCAGAGCCUUCCAGGGCCUCCGGCCCGUGGACCCGAGGAGGAUGAGCUGGCUCUUUCCCCUGACCAAGAGCGCCUCCUCCUCCGCGGCUGGGUCCCCCGGUGGCCUCACCAGCCUCCAGCAGCAGAAGCAGCGCCUGAUCGAGUCCCUCCGGAACUCACACUCCAGUAUAGCCGAAAUACAGAAAGAUGUGGAAUACAGAUUGCCGUUCACCAUAAACAACCUGACAAUUAACAUUAAUAUAUUGCUUCCUCCACAGUUUCCUCAGGAAAAACCAGUGAUCAGUGUUUAUCCACCAAUACGACAUCACUUAAUGGAUAAACAAGGAGUGUAUGUUACCUCUCCAUUAGUAAACAAUUUUACAAUGCACUCAGAUCUUGGAAAAAUUAUUCAGAGUCUAUUGGAUGAGUUUUGGAAGAAUCCUCCAGUUUUAGCUCCUACUUCAACAGCAUUUCCUUAUCUAUACAGUAACCCAAGUGGGAUGUCUCCUUAUGCUUCUCAGGGUUUUCCAUUUCUUCCUCCAUAUCCUCCACAAGAAGCAAACAGGAGUAUCACUUCUUUAUCUGUUGCUGACACUGUUUCUUCUUCAACAACAAGUCAUACCACAGCCAAGCCUGCCGCUCCUUCAUUUGGUGUCCUUUCAAAUCUGCCAUUACCCAUUCCCACAAUGGAUGCUUCAAUACCGACAAGCCAAAAUGGUUUUGGUUACAAGAUGCCAGAUGUCCCUGAUGCAUUUCCAGAACUCUCAGAACUAAGUGUGUCACAACUCACAGAUAUGAAUGAACAAGAGGAGGUGUUACUAGAACAGUUUCUGACUUUGCCUCAACUAAAACAAAUUAUUACCGACAAAGAUGACUUAGUAAAAAGUAUUGAGGAACUAGCAAGAAAAAAUCUCCUUUUGGAGCCCAGCUUGGAAGCCAAAAGGCAAACUGUUUUAGAUAAGUAUGAAUUACUUACACAGAUGAAGUCCACUUUCGAAAAGAAGAUGCAAAGGCAGCAUGAACUUAGUGAGAGCUGUAGUGCAAGUGCCCUUCAGGCAAGAUUGAAAGUAGCUGCACAUGAAGCUGAGGAAGAAUCUGAUAAUAUUGCAGAAGACUUCUUGGAGGGAAAGAUGGAAAUAGAUGAUUUUCUCAGUAGCUUCAUGGAAAAGAGAACAAUUUGCCACUGUAGAAGAGCCAAGGAAGAGAAACUUCAGCAGGCAAUAGCAAUGCACAGCCAAUUUCAUGCUCCACUAUAGGGCAUGCUGUUAAAUCUUCAAAAUGACCAGAUGAGGAAGGAAUAAUUAAUUAUUACUCCUGAUUUGUGGAUAACUGAGACAUACGCUGUCAAAUGGAAGAAAUUAAAGCCACAUCCUCAAUAUUAGGCAACAGAGUUUCUAAGAGUGGACAGCUCCAAGAAGGUUGUGAAGGAAACUUCAGGCAGUGAGAAACACGGCUUCAUCAGAAUCCCGGUCCUUGCCACUAUCUUCACUCGGUGCAUGCUCACCACCACUUGGAGACCGACAGCUCAAAUCCUCCACCCCGGACUCUUGGUCACUGUUGGCUGACAGAUCUGGAUCUGAACUUUUCAGAUUGUCUUGGGUUAGAAUCAGAGCAGAAUCUUCAUCGCCUUGUGAAGGGCUCCGGGAUGGAAAUGAUUUCAUAUUCCCACUGUAAUCCUGGGGAGUGUUGGCUAUGCUGUUAUCUGAGGUAGAAAACCCUGAGUGCUUGCUGGGCUCACUUUGCUUACUCUUCACCUUAGUGCAAUUUAACUGGACGUUUUGAAUUUUUUCCAGCCUCUAAGAAAGAAAUAACAAUUUCAGGGGAAAAAUCAUAAAUAACUUAUCUUUUUCUAUAUAUGCAUGCCUUUAGCAUUUGUUACCUCCCAGGUGGGUAUAAUGUUAAGAACAUGGGACUCACAGGGAUGUGAGUUCAAACCUGGACUUCACGACCUUGGACAAAAUCUGUGAGGCCUGCUUUAUCUCUAAUGUAAGGAUAAUACCUGCCUUGACAUAGGUUUUCUAUAAUCAUAAACAAUAUAGCACAGUUGAAGCACCCAGUGAACCCUAGUCUCCCUCUUUUCUAUACCUACAUGGUUUCAAAUGAUGAGUCUCAUCCCAUGAACUCAAAAAACAUUUUUUAGAAAUCAGGAAUGAAGUGUUUAUCAUCUAACUUUUAUAGUGAGAUACAAUUCACUUACCAUGAAACUCACCCUUUUAAAGUAUACAAUUCAGUGGUUUUUAGUUAUAUUCACAAGGUUGUGCAACGAUCACUACUAAUUAUAAAAUACUGUCAUCACCUCCCCUGCCAAAAGAAAACCCCAUACUCAUUAGCAGUCAUUUCCCAUUCCUAUCUCCCCACAGCCCCUGGCUACUACUGAUCAACUUCUAUCUCUAUGGAUUUGCCUAGUCUAGAUGUUUUAUAUAAAUUGAAUGGAAUCAUACAACAUGUGGAUUUUUGUAUCUGGCUUCCUUCACUUAGCUUAUGUUCUCAAAAUUCAUACAUGGUACAGCAUGUAUCAAGUACUUCAUUCCUUUUUCUGGCUGAACAGUAUUCCAUUACAUGGACAUACCAGAUUUUGUUUCCCCAUUCAUCAUGUCAUGGACACCUGGGUUGUUCAGAAUACAUUUCACCAGAUUUCAUGUUUUGAUGUUAACAGAGGAGAUGUUACAAGAUCAAGUAUUAUGUAUUCAUUCAAAACCAUUCAUUUAGGUUAUGUGCAAAAGCACUGUGCUGGGCAGUGUGAGGAACAGAGAUAAAUACAGACCCAGCCUUAAGGAACAUGGAGUAGUGGAGCAGAGAGAGGCAGAGUUCAUGCAACGUAAGAAUUUCAAAAAGGCAAAAGUUCUUGAAGAGGGAUGAAGUGGUAAGGUUAGAAGGAAGAGAACAGAGUUAAGUUUCAGGGAGGAAGGAACAUUUUAACAGGACUGUGAAAGAUUUAAACUUGGACAUUCUGGUGAUAGCUAGUAAGCAUUCCUGACAGGAGUAGGGACAGUGAGAGGACAAACACAAAGGUAGGAAGGUCUAAAUUGUAUACAAGCAGCAGAAACCAUUAAAUAUUAGCAUGGAAAAUAAAGCUGAAAAGAGAAAAUCUCAAAUGCCAGCCUAAGGAAUUUUGACUUUGUAAUAAGAGCCAGUUUUAAAGAGCCAGACUGCUAGAAUAGACUAAUAGAAUACUAAGAUGUUCAUAAACUAUAUUAGUACCACUGGAAACAAAGUUAUCCAAUUAGGGAAAGCAUUUUAUUAUAACCUCCCUGUCCAAGUACAGGGAAGUUAAUAGAAGCCAAAAGAUAAGACUUUACAGUCAGUCUCCCCUUUUACCAAUUAUAGAUUAAUAUAAUAGUUACAUAAUUUUUAAAAAUGGAGAAAGAUUUUUACAAGUACGUAUAUUUGAUUUUAUUCUUUUACUUUUUCACACUUUCCAGAAAAAAAUUAAUUUUACUACUCUCAAAUAACAGUAACCAAAAAAGUUGACCUAAAAUAAGGAACAACCAAAAAUUUGUGGAACUGAGCCACAAGCCAGAUGUGUGAAAUGCAUUAAAUGCCUAGGUUUGGGCUUCGGUUAUCUGAGUCCUGACCUGGAAGGGGUUGUGUUUCAGGUGUUCUACUGACUAAAAAUGUGAAAUAUUUGUAUUGCACUGAAUCUUAAGAGGCUUUCAUUGAAGCCUUGCUCUUCAAGAAAUAAGCACAGAAAAUAGAUUAACAAAGCAAGUAUGUCUUACUUCUUCCAGGGCCUCUAGUUCUUCCUCUAGCUGCUGAGUUUCUUCCUUCACUGCCAUUAGGUAAUCUGUAACUGAUUGUCGGGGCUGCAUCCCCUUUUCAAAGCGGUUAUACAUUCCACUCCAAAACCUGGAAAGGACGGCAAAGCAUCAUGAUACCACCUUAUCACAGUCUGAAAAUUCACAUCCUCAAGUCUUCUAAGGUAUCUAUGAUACCACAGUCUUAAUAAUAACCAAAUGCAAAUUUCAGCCUCAAAAAAGCCACUACUUAAGGUAAUAAUUUCAUGUUGAUGUUUUUUUUCUUGGGUCAGUAAAUGCCUUUUGGGGAGAAUAAGUUUAUGAAAAGUCUACUUGUAUAUAUGAAUUAGAAAACACAGAAUACAUUUUUCUAAAAUUAAAAUAGCACAUGUAACCAUUUCCUUUUAAGAAAAUGGCUCUUAGUUUUGAAAUUUGAAAUUGUAUAUUUAGAAUCUUUCAGCUACAAAGGGAAUCUUAAACUUGCAGCUUUUAUCUUUUGUAUCACGACCACUAAAAGUUGACAUUUGCAUUGGCAAUAACCGCCCCCCACCCCGCUUUUUUUUUUAAUGGCAGAGUUUCGCUCUUGUCACCCAAACCGAAGUGCAGUGGUGUGAUAUCGGCUCCUUGCAACCUCCACCUCCCGGGUUCAAGCGAUUCUCCUGCCUCAGCCUCUCAAGCACCUGGGAUUACAGGCAUGCACCACCAUGUCUAAUUUUAUUUUUUUUUUAGUAGAGACAGGGUUUCACCAUGUUGGUCAGGUUGGUCAUGAACUCCUGACAUCAGGUGAUCCACCCACCUCAGCCUCCCAAAGUGCUAGGAUUACAGGCGGGAGCCACCACGCCUGACCGAUAAAUCCCUUUUUAUCCUACACAAAAAAGCAACUGGAGUGCAAAUGAGAAAAAUGGUGUUAUCAUAGAGUUAUCCUUAGAACCACUAUUUUAUUUAUGUAGAUAAGUAAGUACUUUGAGGGCAAGGACUUGGUGUCAUUGUUUUAUCUGCAGUGCCCAGAACAGCGUUUGAUCCUCAAUAAAAUAUGUGUUGACUAGCUGUUAAUAAUAAAUUAGUUGCAAUCCAACUGGUCAUAUCUCAACAGCUCUUAAAACUUGUCUUACAUGCACUAUGGAGGCUUUUGUUUAGUAUGAUAGAAUAUUCUGCUAUAAAUUCUGAGAAGAUAAUUAGAUUGAAAUAAUUAAGAAAAAAAACCUUGAGAAACGAAAUCUAUACAGGGAGAAAAGCCAUCAAGUCUGUGUCGGGAGUGAGUAGGAAGAAAGAGAUGGGGUUUCUGUUUAUUCUGCAUGAGUCUUUUGAUGUUGCUGACCUUUGAGUUUUUUCAUAUUAUACAAGCCUAACAAGGAAGCCAAAGGAAAAAACAUACGUAUCUAGCACAUACCCAGUAGAACCUGUAGGAUGCCACCCUGCUCUCCCCAUCCUCCCCAUACAUACAAUCUUUUUUUUUUUUUUUGAGACGGAGUUUUGCUCUUGUUGCCCAGGCUGGAGUGCAAUGGCGCGAUCUCGGCUCACCGCAACCUCCGCCUCCCUGGUUCAAGUGAUUUUCCUGCCUCAGCCUCCCGAGUAGCUAGGAUUACAGGCGCCCACCACCAUGCCCAGCUAAUUUGUGUAUUUUUAGUAGAGACGGGGUCUCGCCAUGUUGGCCAGGCUUGUCUUGAACUCCUGACCUCGGGUGAUCCACCCGCCUCGGCCAGUACAUACAAUCUUAACAUAAUUUCCACAAGGGAAGUACUUCCAGUAGGACUUAAUUCAGUGGAGACAAAAAGGCAACCUAUUAUGUUGGUGCAAAAGUAAUUGCGGUUUUUGCCUUUUUGUUUAACAGCAAAAACCACAAUUAUUUUUGCUCCAACCUUAAUAAGUCAUGAUCACUGUUGAAACUUGUGAUUCCACAUUUGACUUAAGGCAUUUGCAUUAUUCUCUUUCAUUUGCUUUUAAAAAAAUAAAUUGGAACUUAACCUUUUUAUGAUAUCAUUAUUAUAAAACAUCACCUCCUGAAGAAAAUUCCACAUUUAGGAGGAAUAAAGAGGCAGAGGAGUCAGUGGCAAAAAUACCAGAUCAGAUAUUCAAGCAUCUCCCUCUGGUGUCUUUUGUGUCCAAUAAAAGCCUCAAAGAUCAGUGUCAUACACUUGGACCUCUGAAUGUUAAACGGUACCAGAAUCCAAGUUCAUACCAUAGCUACAAAGUUCCUAAGGAUUUACAUACUUGUACAUGAAGUUACAUGGUGUUGUAGGGAGAUGAAGGGUUCCCUGAGUCUGGCUGUGAUCAGCUCUAAACAGAGGAUUCAGGUAGUCGGCCCGAUUCUUCCACAGGUGAGCCCAUAAUGAGUAUGUUCUUUCUUGAAUCCUGUUAUAAAGAAAAUAAGUCUAUAAAUGACCUAUUUUGGUGCUUACAUAUAGUAGAUAUGUUAUAUUAAUGCUGGAAAGGAACUAAUAAUUGUUACCUGAAAACCACUUGUCUGUUCGAUAGCAGGUAAAUGUAUCAUCUUGGUGACUUCAUGGUAUAGAGGGAGAACACUGUAAUAAUCUCAACUUCACCACCAUCUGUACUGGCCUUGACAAGGUGUUCGAUUCGUGUGUGUGUGUGUGUGUGUGUGUUUUAAGCUGUUCUUUUGGGGGAGUUUUUUCCCCCAAAUAGUCACUGGACAUUUAUAAUUUGUCAGACACUAUUCUAAAUAUUUCACAUGUUUUCUCUCAUUUAAUCCUGAGUUGCUGUGAGAUAUGUCUAAUUUACAGAUGAAGAAACUGAGGAAUAGAAUAAGUGGUUUCCCAAAGUCCUAUAGCUAGUAAGUGGAAAAGCCAUAUUCAGACCCAAGCAGAUACUGUUAGAAUUGGCUAGUCAGGUACAAGAAAACAGGUGACCCUAAAGGAUACACUCUGCUCCUUCUAAAUCAUCUCCAUGGAAUCACACUUGAGCUUCCUUAGAGAAAACAAACUGGUAUCCACUACAAAAAUUAAUUUUCUUUAUGAGUCUAUUUCAUUUGAACUGAUCAUUCCCCAAAUUAAAUCUGAUAAUGUUAUAUACACUAUAGUUAAAACCAUUUCAUUUUAUGAAAAUUUAAAAAAUGUUCUCUCAUGUAUACUGCCUAAAUCACUUUGUUGUUGUAAGUUUUUUACUAUCACUUAUUGUAAAGUCCACAUUUUAUCUACUUUUACCCUUGGAUAAAUCAAUACAGUUUUAAUCUGAAUAAAUUCUGGCUUUUAUAUUUGCUUUCCCAAUUAAAUUUGCAAUUUUUAUUAUGGUAGCAUAGCCACCAAAGAUAUCUAACCUUUUCCUUUUAAAUGCAAAAACCACUUUUUUGACUCCAGAAAAUUCCCUUUCGAUAUUCGUGCAUCAAGUCUGUCAAGCUGUCUAUCAGGCAGAAACUGAAGGAAAAAAUGAAACUACUGAUCUAUCAGUUGAUGACAUUUAAACCAUUUAUGAAAUGACACAAGGAAAAAGAAAAUAAAACUAAUCUGUCAGUAUAGGUAUGUGACUAAAUGAAAAAAGUCUUCAAAAUUAUGAAAGGCCACCUAAAAUUCUCAGUCAUCAAAA